GGAUGCGACCAUACCAGCACUAACGCACCGGAUCCCAUCAGAACUCCGAAGUUAAGCGUGCUUGGGCGAGAGUAGUACUAGGAUGGGUGACCCCCUGGGAAGUCCUCGUGUUGCACCCC
rnacentral:rRNA from 1 species